ACAUCUUUCUCGGCCUUUUGGCUUUGAUCGAGUGUAGUAUCUGUUCUUUUCAGUUUAAUAGCUGAAAGCGUCCUACGGGGCGCGUUUACUAUUAACUCAAUUUUUUGUCGGGUCCAGAGGUGUGCCUCCUUGGAAACAAGUUGAGUGCACCCUUUGGUAGGUUUCAAGCAGACAUUGCACUAUCCGUCAGUUUUGGAGCCACCCUU
rfam:Naegleria gruberi genomic scaffold NAEGRscaffold_92, whole genome shotgun sequence.